rnacentral:rRNA from 1 species
GACGAACGCUGGCGGCGUGCUUAACACAUGCAAGUCGAACGGAAAGGCCCUGCUUUUGUGGGGUGCUCGAGUGGCGAACGGGUGAGUAACACGUGAGUAACCUGCCCUUGACUUUGGGAUAACUUCAGGAAACUGGGGCUAAUACCGGAUAGGAGCUCCUGCUGCAUGGUGGGGGUUGGAAAGUUUCGGCGGUUGGGGAUGGACUCGCGGCUUAUCAGCUUGUUGGUGGGGUAGUGGCUUACCAAGGCUUUGACGGGUAGCCGGCCUGAGAGGGUGACCGGCCACAUUGGGACUGAGAUACGGCGCAGACUCCUACGGGAGGCAGCAGUGGGGAAUAGUGCACAAUGGGCGGAAGCCUGAUGCAGCAACGCCGCGUGCGGGAUGACGGCCUUCGGGUUGUAAACCGCUUUCGCCUGUGACGAAGCGUGAGUGACGGUAAUGGGUAAAGAAGCACCGGCUAACUACGUG